AGUGAAAGUUAUUUCAUUUAGUAGGAAGGAUAUUAUUUGCAUAGAUAUGAAACAAAAAAAAAAAACUGACUUUGUGCCCACUACACAACCCCACUGAGGCUGAUGGAGACGCUGCACUAAAAUGAUAAAGCGAGGUCACCAAGACGCUGGCUUACGCUCAAAGUGGCACACAGUCAGCUUGUUGAUGAACCGAUUUAGUGCUGGGACCACUCAGCUGUCCAGUGAGCCUUAGCAGCCUGUUCAUCUGACAGACCUCCGCCCCAUAACAUCUGCAUCUGUGGCACCAGUUGCAGGCAUAUUGUUAUCAUCUCAUCACCCAGAUGUCAAGCACACAAAUGUGAUUAGAGAGCAAAACUGACUUAUGAAAGUGAUGAGAAACAUUUGAAGUGAAAUAACUAGACUGCAGAGAACCGUUUAAAAAAAUAACAUUGAGUGAAGAAGUGGUAGUGAGCAGGAUGAGCGCAGUAUGACAGCAGAGAAUUAGAUGCCAGUGAGAAAAGAAGGGGAAAGAGAAACACAUUUUAGAAGAAAGUUUACAAGACAGAGCAGUGGGCAAGCAGGAUGUUUAGAUUGUGAAGGGAAGAAAAAGGAAGAAAUAAAGAUGGGAGAAGGAGAUUAUGAGAGGAAGAGGCAAAGAGGAGGCCAUCCAGUUGAAGAGGCAAGCAACAGAGAGAAAAAGGAAAGCAGAACAGAGCGAAAGAGAGCAAAAUCUAGUAGAGGAGCAGAAAGUCAGAGGAGAGUGAGUAGUGAAAAAGAAAUGAAAAGAGAC